GCGAACGGGUGAGUAACGCGUGAGGAACCUGCCUCAAAGAGGGGGACAACAGUUGGAAACGACUGCUAAUACCGCAUAAGCCCACGGGUCGGCAUCGACCAGAGGGAAAAGGAGCAAUCCGCUUUGAGAUGGCCUCGCGUCCGAUUAGCUAGUUGGUGAGGUAACGGCCCACCAAGGCAACGAUCGGUAGCCGGACUGAGAGGUUGAACGGCCACAUUGGGACUGAGACACGGCCCAGACUCCUACGGGAGGCAGCAUG
rnacentral:rRNA from 1 species